GUCAUUAGUCUUAGUAGUCUGUGAUGCGAGGAUUACUACGUUUUGCCAGAAUGAUAUAGGCACUCCGGGAUAUAGUAUAGCGAGCCGUUUUCUAGUCCCGUAACACUGCGGUCAGUAAUUAAACAUUCCUCCUGGUAGAGGGGAAGUGUUGCUGAUAAAAACCUGGUAAAACUUUGACUAAGAAAACCACAUCCUCCGGGAU
rnacentral:sRNA from 1 species